GGGUGGUGGGGGUGAUUUCUCCGGCGGUGGUGGGGACUUGUAGUAGUAAGGUGGUGGAGGAGAUGGCGAUGGUGGUGGUGGGGACUUGUAGUAGUAAGGAGGGAGUGGUGAUGGAGAUGGUGGUGGGGGAGAUUUGUAGUAGUAGGGAUGAGGGGAUGGAGAUGGUGGUGGGGGAGAUUUGUAGUAGUAGGGAUGAGGGGAUGGAGAUGGUGGUGGGGGAGAUUUGUAGUAGUAGGGAUGAGGGGAUGGAGAUGGUGGUGGUGGGGAGACGUAAUGAUAAGGUGGUGGUGGAGAUUUCUCCGGCGGUGGUGGGGAGAUGUACUGAUAAGGUGGUGGUGGGGAUUUCUCCGGAGGUGGUGGGGAGAUGUAGUGAUAAGGUGGUGGUGGGGAUUUUUCCGGUGGUGGUGGGGAGAUGUACUGAUAAGGUGGUGGUGGAGAUUUUUCCGGUGGUGGUGGGGAGAUGUACUGAUAAGGUGGUGGUGGAGAUUUUUCCGGUGGUGGUGGGGAGACGUAAUAAUACGGCUUUGGUGGAGGUUUCACCGGUGGUGGCGGUGACUUGUAUAGGUAAGUUGGUGGUGGAGGUGGUGGUGAUUUAUAGACAUAAGUUGGUGGUGGUGGGGAGACGUAAUAAUACGGCUUUGGUGGAGGUUUCACUGGUGGUGGCGGUGACUUGUAUAGGUAAGUUGGUGGUGGAGGUGGUGGUGAUUUAUAGACAUAAGUUGGUGGUGGUGGGGAGACGUAAUAAUACGGCUUUGGCGGAGGUUUCACCGGUGGUGGCGGUGACUUGUAUAGGUAAGUUGGUGGUGGAGGUGGUGGUGAUUUAUAGACAUAAGUUGGUGGUGGUGGGGAGACGUAAUAAUACGGCUUUGGUGGAGGUUUCACCGGUGGUGGCGGUGACUUGUAUAGGUAAGUUGGUGGUGGAGGUGGUGGUGAUUUAUAGACAUAAGUUGGUGGCGGAGGAGAUAUGUAGUGGUAAGGAGCAGGAGUUGGCUUGGGCUUCUCACAUUCCUCAUAAGGAG
rnacentral:lncRNA from 1 species